rnacentral:sRNA from 1 species
CACCCGUGUCUAUCGUACCUUGUUGCUUCGGCGGGCCCGCCGUUUCGACGGCCGCCGGGGAGGCCCUCGCGCCCCCGGGCCCGCGCCCGCCGAAGACCCCAACAUGAACGCUGUUCUGGAAGUAUGCAGUCUGAGUUUGAUUAUCAUAAUCAGUUAAAACUUUCAACAACGGAUCUCUUGGUUCCGGCAUCGAUGAAGAACGCAGCGAAAUGCGAUAACUAAUGUGAAUUGCAGAAUUCAGUGAAUCAUCGAGUCUUUGAACGCACAUUGCGCCCCCUGGUAUUCCGGGGGGCAUGCCUGUCCGAGCGUCAUUGCUGCCCUCAAGCACGGCUUGUGUGUUGGGCCCCCGUCCCCGGUUUCUCCCCGGGGACGGGCCCGAAAGGCAGCGGCGGCACCGCGUCCGGUCCUCGAGCGUAUGGGGCUUUGUCACCCGCUCUGUAGGCCUGGCCGGCGCCAGCCGACACCCCCCAACUUUAUUUUUCUAAGGUUGACCUCGGAUCAGGUAGGGAUACCCGCUGAACUUAAGCAUAUCAAUAAGCGGAGGAAAAGAAACCAACAGGGAUUGCCCCAGUAACGGCGAGUGAAGCGGCAAGAGCUCAAAUUUGAAAGCUGGCCCCCUCGGGGUCCGCGUUGUAAUUUGCAGAGGAUGCUUCGGGUGCAGCCCCCGUCUAAGUGCCCUGGAACGGGCCGUCAUAGAGGGUGAGAAUCCCGUCUGGGACGGGGUGUCUGCGUCCGUGUGAAGCUCCUUCGACGAGUCGAGUUGUUUGGGAAUGCAGCUCUAAAUGGGUGGUAAAUUUCAUCUAAAGCUAAAUACUGGCCGGAGACCGAUAGCGCACAAGUAGAGUGAUCGAAAGAUGAAAAGCACUUUGAAAAGAGAGUUAAACAGCACGUGAAAUUGUUGAAAGGGAAGCGUUUGCGACCAGACUCGCCCGCGGGGUUCAGCCGGCAUUCGUGCCGGUGUACUUCCCCGUGGGCGGGCCAGCGUCGGUUUGGGCGGCCGGUCAAAGGCCCUCGGAAUGUAUCACCUCUCGGGGUGUCUUAUAGCCGAGGGUGCAAUGCGGCCUGCCCG